rnacentral:rRNA from 1 species
UAUUUUUUGCAUGGAAUAAUGGAAUACGACCUCGGUUCUAUUUUGUUGGUUCUCGGAAUCCGAGGUAAUGAUUAAUAGGAACAACUGGGGGCAUUCGUAUUGCGACGUUAGAGGUGAAAUUUUUGGAUUGUCGCAAGACGGACUACAGCGAAAGCAUUUGCCAAAGGUGUUUUCAUCAAUCAAGAACGAAAGUUAGAGGUUCGAAGGCGAUUAGAUACCGCCCUAGUUCUAACCAUAAACGUUGCCACCCGGGAUCCGCCGAGUUAAUAUAAUGGCUCGGCGGGCGGCCUCCGGGAAACC